CGAACCGUGCGAACGUUGUUCGGAAUCACUGGGCUUAAAGGGCGCGUAGGCGGGCCACCAAGUCAGUGGUGAAAUACUCCGGCCUAACCGGAGAAGGGCUGUUGAUACUGGUGGCCUCGAGUGGUGCAGGGGUCUGCGGAACUUCCGGUGGAGCGGUGAAAUGCGUAGAGAUCGGAAGGAACGCCGGUGGCGAAAGCGGCGGACUGGGCACCUCCUGACGCUGAGGCGCGAAAGCCAGGGGAGCAAACGGGAUUAGAUACCCCGGUAGUCCUGGCCCUAAACGAUGGGUACUAGGUUGAAGGCUUACAUGGGCUUUCAGCCGGAGCAAAAGUGUUAAGUACCCCGCCUGGGGAGUAUGGUCGCAAGGCUG
rnacentral:rRNA from 1 species